UAUUUGUUGUAUAGAAGCAUUGUUAGCUGUACAUGUCUGCCUGGCAUGGUUCAUCUGACCUUGACCUCAUUUUCAUGGUUCAUUGGUCUUUGUUUAGUUAUUUUGGUUAAUGUUAAGUUUAUGAGACAGUUGUAAUAAAGCUUUAUACUUAGGACUAUCAACAUAAUAUCAAUGAUUAGUAUAGAAGGCGAGACAUUUCAGCGUGUUCACUCU
rnacentral:lncRNA from 1 species